rnacentral:rRNA from 1 species
UACGUAGGGAGCAAGCGUUAUCCGGAUUUACUGGGUGUAAAGGGCGUGUAGGCGGGCAUGUAAGUCAGAAGUGAAAUCCCAGGGCUUAACUCUGGAACUGCUUUUGAAACUGCGUGUCUUGAGUGAUGGAGAGGCAGGCGGAAUUCCCAGUGUAGCGGUGAAAUGCGUAGAUAUUGGGAGGAACACCAGUGGCGAAGGCGGCCUGCUGGACAUUAACUGACGCUGAGGCGCGAAAGCGUGGGGAGCAAACAGGAUUAGAAACCCCUGUAGU